AUUGAACGCUGGCGGCAUGCCUUACACAUGCAAGUCGAACGGUAACAGGUCUUCGGAUGCUGACGAGUGGCGAACGGGUGAGUAAUACAUCGGAACGUGCCCGAGAGUGGGGGAUAACGAAGCGAAAGCUUUGCUAAUACCGCAUACGAUCUCAGGAUGAAAGCAGGGGACCGCAAGGCCUUGCGCUCACGGAGCGGCCGAUGGCAGAUUAGGUAGUUGGUGGGAUAAAAGCUGACCAAGCCGACGAUCUGUAGCUGGUCUGAGAGGACGACCAGCCACACUGGGACUGAGACACGGCCCAGACUCCGACGGGAGGCAGCAGUGGGGAAUUUUGGACAAUGGGCGCAAGCCUGAUCCAGCCAUGCCGCGUGCAGGAUGAAGGCCUUCGGGUUGUAAACUGCUUUUGUACGGAACGAAAAGACUCCUUCUAAUAAAGGGGGUCCAUGACGGUACCGUAAGAAUAAGCACCGGCUAACUACGUGCCAGCCGCCGCGGUAAGAC
rnacentral:rRNA from 1 species